UAGUCCACGCCGUAAACGAUGUCAACUAGCCGUUGGGACCUUGAGGUCUCAGUGGCGCAGCUAACGCGUGAAGUUGACCGCCUGGGGAGUACGGCCGCAAGGCUAAAACUCAAAUGAAUUGACGGGGGCCCGCACAAGCGGUGGAGCAUGUGGUUUAAUUCGAUGCAACGCGAAGAACCUUACCUACCCUUGACAUCCUCAGAACUUGUUAGAAAUAACUUGGUGCCUUCGGGAAUUGAGUGACAGGUGCUGCAUGGCUGUCGUCAGCUCGUGUCGUGAGAUGUUGGGUUAAGUCCCGCAACGAGCGCAACCCUUGUCCAUAGUUGCCAGCACGUAAUGGUGGGAACUCUAUGGAGACUGCCGGUGAUAAACCGGNGGAAGGUGGGGAUGACGUCAAGUCAUCAUGGGCCCUUAUGGGGUAGGGGCUACACACGUGCUACAAUGGUUGGGUACAGA
rnacentral:rRNA from 1 species